UACGGAGGGGGCAAGCGUUGUUCGGAAUUACUGGGCGUAAAGGGCGCGCAGGCGGCUGCUCAAGUCAGGCGUGAAAGGCCUGGGCUCAACCCGGGAAUUGCGCUUGAGACUGGGCUGGCUUGAGUGCGGGAGAGGAUGGUGGAAUUCCCGAGUGUAGAGGUGAAAUUCGUAGAUAUUGGGAAGAACACCGGUGGCGAAGGCGGCCAUCUGGACCGCAACUGACGCUGAGGCGGCGAAAAGCGUGGGGAGCAAACAGGG
rnacentral:rRNA from 1 species